CUGGGCUCAACCCAGGACGUGCAUUUGAAACUGUCCGGCUUGAGUAGGGGAGAGGGAAGUGAAAUUCCUGGUGUAGAGGUGAAGUUCGUAGAUAUCAGGAGGAACACCGGUGGCGAAGGCGACUUCCUGGCCCUAUACUGACGCUGAGACGCGAGAGCGUGGGUAGCAAACAGGAUUAGAUACCCUGGUAGUCCACGCCGUAAACGAUGUUCACUAGGUGUUGGGGGUAUUGACCCCCUCAGUGCCGGAGCUAACGCAUUAAGUGAACCGCCUGGGGAGUACGGUCGCAAGACUAAAACUCAAAGGAAUUGACGGGGGCCCGCACAAGCGGUGGAGCAUGUGGUUUAAUUCGAUGCAACGCGAAGAACCU
rnacentral:rRNA from 1 species